rnacentral:lncRNA from 13 species
UUAGCAAAGAAGAUAGGCCUGUGAGAGAAAAAUUGCUGCGCACAAAGUACUUUGUAAUGGGUUUCAUCAGAAGAGCAAACUUUAUUCUGUGUACAUUUGGGAUGAGAUGGCAUAACUCCUCGUUUCCCCAUUAAAGGAUUUGAUUACCAGUGAAAUCAAGAACAAAAAGAUAGAGGACACCCUUCAUAUAUAGUAAGCAGCUUCAGAUCAAACCCACCCAGUGUUGCAUGUUAGCACAUACCCUUUGCUCA